rnacentral:rRNA from 1 species
CCUACCUACGGGAGGCAGCAGUAGGGAAUAUUGCUCAAUGGGGGAAACCCUGAAGCAGCAACGCCGCGUGGAGGAUGAAGGUUUUCGGAUUGUAAACUCCUUUUGUUAGAGAAGAUAAUGACGGUAUCUAACGAAUAAGCACCGGCUAACUCCGUGCCAGCAGCCGCGGUAAUACGGAGGGUGCAAGCGUUACUCGGAAUCACUGGGUGUAAAGGGCGUGUAGCCGGGCUGACAAGUCAGAUGUGAAAUUCCGGGGCUCAACCCCGGACCUGCAUUUGAAACUGUUGGUCUUGAGUAUCGGAGAG